rnacentral:rRNA from 1 species
AGAGUUUGUCAUGGCUCAGAUUGAACGCUGGCGGUAUGCUUAACACAUGCAAGUCGAACGGUAGCAGCUCUUCGGAGGCUGACGAGUGGCGGACGGGUGAGUAACGCGUAGGAAUCUGCCUAUUAGUGGGGGACAACUUGUGGAAACGCAAGCUAAUACCGCAUACGCCCUACGGGGGAAAGGAGGGGAUCUUCGGACCUUUCGCUAAUAGAUGAGCCUGCGUUAGAUUAGCUAGUUGGUGGGGUAAGAGCCUACCAAGGCGACGAUCUAUAGCUGUUCUGAGAGGAAGAUCAGCCACACUGGGACUGAGACACGGCCCAGACUCCUACGGGAGGCAGCAGUGGGGAAUAUUGGACAAUGGGCGAAAGCCUGAUCCAGCAAUACCGCGUGUGUGAAGAAGGCCUUAGGGUUGUAAAGCACUUUCAAUUGGGAGGAAAAACAAGGGUUAAUACCCCUUGUCUUGACAUUACCUUUAGAAGAAGCACCGGCUAACUCCGUG